AUGGGUUUGGGACUGAGAUUGCCGUUCUUCCUACUCCUCUUGCUGCUGGUCAGCCUGGGAGCCGCACAAGGCCGGAGCACAGUUUUUCUUGAUAUCAAGGAGGCUCGAGACCCUGAUCAAAUCUUGAUGGAUCAGAUAACUUCGAGCAAAACUCCCGUUCGUGUUGAGAGGGGUAGCCCACUAUGCCCAGCUUGCGAGAAGUUUACAGAUGAAGCUCUUAGCUAUCUUAGUCAGAAACAAUCACAAGAUAAGAUGAUGGAGGUCCUUCAUGAAGCUUGUUCUCAGACAUUCUCGUUGGAAAAGAAGUGUGUUGAGUUGGUGGACUCCUAUGCAACUCUCUUAUUUGCCAAGAUCGCUGAGAUCAAGCCGGAAGAGUUCUGCAAACGAAAUGGCCUCUGCAGGGACAAUGCUCUUCUGUCUGGUGUGAGAAGUGAGAGCACAUGUGUGUUUUGCCACCACCUCAUGGAUGAAGUUUUGUCCAAACUGAAAGAUCCCGAUGCUGAGUUCGAGAUAAUUCAAAUUCUCCUCAAGGAGUGCAAAAAGAUCGAAGGUCACGAGCAGCAGUGCAAACGAUUGGUCCUGCAAUACAUCCCUCUCAUCCUGGUCAACGGAGAGAAGUUCCUCGAGAAGAACGAUAUAUGCACCAUCGUCCAAGCAUGUGAUGCCGGCAAAAAGACGGUGGUCGGGUCAUUCUCCGAGGAGGGUUUGCUGCGUGAUGCAUGA
rnacentral:rRNA from 1 species